AUAAUGUAGGUAAGGGAAGUCGGCAAAUUAGAUCCGUAACUUCGGGAAAAGGAUUGGCUCUAAGGACUGGGCCGGUCGGGCUGCAGUGUGAAGUGAGCUCGGUUUGAUCCAUGCAGUGCAACGCUCGGCAACGGGUGGCGCUCGGCUAGCGUUCGAACUGUCUCGUGGACCGCUGCAGCUGCGUGCCGCGUCCUCGCGGGCGUUGGUGCUUCGGCCGGCGCUAAACAGUCGACUUAGAACUGGCACGGACUCGGGGAAUCCGACUGUCUAAUUAAAACAGAGGAGACAGAUGGCCCUUGCGGGCGUUGACUGUCUCUGAUUUCUGCCCAGUGCUCUGAAUGUAAAAGUGAAGAAAUUCAACCAAGCGCGGGUAAACGGCGGGAGUAACUAUGACUCUCUUAAGGUAGCCAAAUGCCUCGUCAUCUAAUUAAAGUUCCAUUGUGAGGGUGCACCUGGAACCUUACCUCCAG
rnacentral:ncRNA from 1 species